rnacentral:rRNA from 1 species
UACGUAGGUGGCGAGCGUUGUCCGGAUUUACUGGGCGUAAAGGGCUCGUAGGCGGCCAGCUAAGUCAGACGUGAAAUCCCUCAGCUUAACUGGGGAACUGCGUCUGAUACUGGAUGGCUUGGAUCCGGGAGAGGGAUGCGGAAUUCCAGGUGUAGCGGUGAAAUGCGUAGAUAUCUGGAGGAACACCGGUGGCGAAGGCGGCAUCCUGGACCGGUAUUGACGCUGAGGAGCGAAAGCUAGGGGAGCAAACGGG